rnacentral:lncRNA from 1 species
UGUGGUCCUUGAAACAGGACAAUGUGGACUCAGAAUUCAGUAAGCAUGUCAAACUCUUUCAUGUUAGUCAUUGGCAUGGUCAUAUUUAUAUGAAGGUAGUGAGCAUGUCAAUGUUUGAGAAAUUUUUGAAUCACGAGGAAAUUCGAGGGACUGGCCAUUUUGCUAACAAAUGCAGUUCUGAACAAUGUCGUCAACAUUGGGACCUUCUGGUGUUUUUGAUGGUCCAGCCUAUCUGUCUCUGUGGACAACCACAGUUUUG